rnacentral:rRNA from 1 species
UGGGGAAUUUUGGACAAUGGGCGAAAGCCUGAUCCAGCAAUGCCGCGUGUGUGAAGAAGGCCUUCGGGUUGUAAAGCACUUUUGUCCGGAAAGAAAAUCCUUGGCUCUAAUACAGUCGGGGGAUGACGGUACCGGAAGAAUAAGCACCGACUAACUACGUGCCAGCAGCCGCGGUAAUACGUAGGGUGCAAGCGUUAAUCGGAAUUACUGGGCGUAAAGCGUGCGCAGGCGGUUUGCUAAGACCGAUGUGAAAAUCCCCGGGCUCAACCUGGGAACUGCAUUGGUGACUGGCAGGCUAGAGUAUGGCAGAGGGGGGUAGAAUUCCACGUGUAGCAGUGAAAAUGCGUAGAGAUGUGGAGGAAUACCGAUGGCGAAAGGCAGCCCCCUGGGCCAAUACUGACGCUCAUGCACGAAAAGCGUGGGGAGCAAAACAGGAUUAGAUACCCUGGUAGUCCACGCCCUAAAACGAUGUCAACUAGUUGUUGGGGAUUCAUUUCCUUAGUAACGUAGCUAACGCGUGAAGUUGACCGCCUGGGGGAGUACGGUCGCAAAGAUUAAAAACUU